CCAAUAGCGUAUAUUAAAGUUGUUGCAGUUAAAAAGCUCGUAGUUGAAUUUCGGGAUCAAUAUGUUGGUCGUGCCUCGGUACGUACUAGCAUAUUGGUUUCUCCUUUCUGAAGAACCAUGAUGUCAUUCAUUUGGUGUCGUGGGGAAUCAGGACUGUUACUUUGAAAAAAUUAGAGUGUUUAAAGCAAGCUAACGCUUGAAUACAUUAGCAUGGAAUAAUGAAAUAGGACGUUCGAUCCUAUUUUGUUGGUUUCUAGGAUUGACGUAAUGAUUAAUAGGGAUAGUUGGGGGCAUUAGUAUUCAAUUGUCAGAGGUGAAAUUCUUGGAUUUAUUGAAGACUAACUACUGCGAAAGCAUUUGCCAAGGAUGUUUUCAUUAAUCAAGAACGAAAGUUAGGGGAUCGAAGACGAUCAGAUACCGUCGUAGUCUUAACCAUAAACUAUGCCGACUAGGGAUCGGAUGAUGUUAAUUUUUUAAUGACUCAUUCGGCGCCUUACG
rnacentral:rRNA from 1 species